AAAUACAACACAAAAAAAAACAUAAGAAAAAAUCUUUUCUUAUUUUUUAUUUUCUCUCCCAAAAAUACACAAAUGCAUAUGCAUAUUUUUUAAUCACACACACAUUAUAUUCUUCUUUCUCCCCUCUCUCAAGAAUAAACAAAUACACAUAAUUUUUUUCUCCUUUUUCUCUCUCUGAAACACACAAAAAACACACAUAUACACAUAAAAUAAAAUAAAUUUUUGCUC
rnacentral:lncRNA from 1 species